ensembl:snRNA U6 U6 spliceosomal RNA
GUGCUUGCUUUGGCAGCACAUUUACUAAAACUGGAACGACACAGAGAAGAUUAGCAUGGUCUCUGUGCAAGCAUGACAUGAAAAUUCUUCAAGCAUUCCCUUCUUUA